rnacentral:rRNA from 1 species
GACGAACGCUGGCGGCGUGCUUAACACAUGCAAGUCGAACGGAAAGGCCCUGCUUUUGUGGGGUGCUCGAGUGGCGAACGGGUGAGUAACACGUGAGUAACCUGCCCUUGACUUUGGGAUAACUUCAGGAAACUGGGGCUAAUACCGGAUAGGAGCUCCUGCCGCAUGGUGGGGGUUGGAAAGUUUCGGCGGUUGGGGAUGGACUCGCGGCUUAGCAGCUUGUUGGUGGGGUAGUGGCUUACCAAGGCUUUGACGGGUAGCCGGCCUGAGAGGGUGACCGGCCACAUGGGGACUGAGAGACGGCGCAGACUCCUACGGGAGGCAGCAGUGGGGAAUAUUGCACAAUGGGCGGAAGCCUGAGGCAGCAACGCCGCGUGCGGGAUGACGGCCUUCGGGUUGUAAACCGCUGUCGCCUGUGACGAAGCGGGAGUGACGGUAAUGGGUAAAGAAGCACCGGCUAACUACGUG